rnacentral:lncRNA from 12 species
CCGAGUGUGUGUCUGAUGGCCCUGAGUUACAUGAGUGCUGGGCUGUGAAGGAAGAUAUGCCAGCUGCCUCCCAGUUCUGAUGAGGACAACCCCCAGGACUGGCCAGCCACUACGUAUUC